rnacentral:rRNA from 1 species
GCUAAUACUCUUAAAGCCGUCUCAGUUCGGACUGUAGGCUGCAACUCGCCUACACGAAGUCGGAAUCGCUAGUAAUCGCGGAUCAGCAUGCCGCGGUGAAUACGUUCCCGGGCCUUGUACACACCGCCCGUCACACCAUGGGAGUUUGUAACGCCCAAAGUCGGUGGCCUAACCUUUAUGGAGGGAGCCGCCUAAGGCGGGACAGAUGACUGGGGUGAAGUCGUAACAAGGUACC